rnacentral:rRNA from 1 species
AGUGAACGCUGGCGGUAGGCCUAACACAUGCAAGUCGAACGGCAGCACAGUAAGAGCUUGCUCUUACGGGUGGCGAGUGGCGGACGGGUGAGGAAUACAUCGGAAUCUACUUUUUCGUGGGGGAUAACGUAGGGAAACUUACGCUAAUACCGCAUACGACCUACGGGUGAAAGCAGGGGAUCUUCGGACCUUGCGCGAUUGAAUGAGCCGAUGUCGGAUUAGCUAGUUGGCGGGGUAAAGGCCCACCAAGGCGACGAUCCGUAGCUGGUCUGAGAGGAUGAUCAGCCACACUGGAACUGAGACACGGUCCAGACUCCUACGGGAGGCAGCAGUGGGGAAUAUUGGACAAUGGGCGCAAGCCUGAUCCAGCAAUACCGCGUGGGUGAGGAAGGCCUUCGGGUUGUAAAGCCCUUUUGUUGGGAAAGAAAAGCAGCAGGUUAAUACCCCGCUGUUCUGACGGUACCCAAAGAAUAAGCACCGGCUAACUUCGUG